rnacentral:misc_RNA from 1 species
GAUGAAGAACGUAGCGAAAUGCGAUACUUGGUGUGAAUUGCAGAAUCCCGUGAACCAUCGAGUCUUUGAACGCAAGUUGCGCCCGAAGCCAUCAGGUUGAGGGCACGUCUGCCUGGGCGUCACAUAUCGUUGCCCAAUGCCUAUUGCAGUGCAAUAGGAAUUUCUAGGGCGAAUGAAGGCUUCCCGUGAGCGUUGUUGCCUCGCGGUUGGUUGAAAAUCGAGUCCUUGGUAGGGUGUGCCAUGGUAGAUGGUGGUCGAGUUAGAACGAUACCGAUCAUGUGCAUGCUCCCCAAAAUAUGGCCUCUAUGACCCACACGCGUCUUUUGACGCUCAUGACGAGACCUCAGGUCAGGCGGGGCUACCCGCUGAAUUUAAGCAUAUCAAUAAGCGGAGGA